GCCCAUCAUCCUAGCCUGUUAUCUGUGAUAAAGCACACUGAAGUUAGGUAUGGAAUGCUCUACACCUCCAUCUCCAUCUCCCACAACCUAGGUAACAGCUUUGAGACUCACUAAAAGUUGAAUCCCAGAACCCCCUGAAUGAUGUAGGCUAUGGGGCCACAUAAGACUUUGUCCAGGGUUACAUAGCACGACAACUUUAAACUAAAAAAUCCCAGAACCCCCUGAAUGAUGUAGGCUAUGGGGCCACAUAAAACUUUGUCCAGGGUUACAUAGCACGACAACUUUAAACUAAAAAACUACCAGACUGGGAUUUUAGUGUACUCCAGGAUGUACUACCAAAGGAUUACUUCAAGAAUUUGCAUAG